GUCUACUCGGGAGAAAAGCGACGCGAUCGAUGCAGGUUCCUCUCGAUAAAGCUUAGGGAGGAAGAAGAUGGAGGAUGUGAAGGCUACUAGAAAGCACGGGAGCCCACCACUUCCGUUGUUCCGCAACUCGCCCUCCGGCAGCGACGCCUUUGAUCUUUCUCCGAGCCAAGCUCCUCAUGUGUGACUGCUCCGGUGACCGAGCUUCAUGGGAACAGGUUUGUGAAUGAAAAUAAAAGAAAAGGAAUAAGCUGCAGUAAAAUUAUGGUGAAGAACGUUUUUUCAUAGCUCUGAACAUGUUGGCACUUAGAUUUUGAUUUUUGAUGAUUUGUAGUUCAGGCAUCCCUUUUGUAUUCGAUAACUCACAUACUACUUGAUGUUGCAUGGUCUACAGUCAAAUCACCACUCGAAGAAGAAGAGGUGAAUCAUGAAUUCCAUCUUAAAGAAGUCCAAGUGAGGUGCUUAUUUGAUUUUAUGUUUUUUUGGGGUAAA